rnacentral:rRNA from 1 species
CCUACGGGAGACAGCAGUGAGGAAUAUUGGUCAAUGGCCGAGAGGCUGAACCAGCCAAGUCGCGUGAGGGAAGACGGCCCUACGGGUUGUAAACCUCUUUUGUCGGGGAGCAAAGCGAGUCACGUGUGACUCAUUGAGAGUACCCGAAGAAAAAGCAUCGGCUAACUCCGUGCCAGCAGCCGCGGUACUUCGGAGGAUGCGAGCGUUAUCCGGAUUUAUUGGGUUAAAGGGGUGCGCAGGCGGAGGUGCAAGUCAGCGGUCAAAUUGCGGGGCUCAACCCCGUACUGCCGUUGAAACUGCAUGCCUUGAGUGCGCGAGAAGUAUGCGGAAUGCGUGGUGUAGCGGUGAAAUGCAUAGAUAUCACGCAGAACUCCGAUUGCGAAGGCAGCAUACCGGAGCGCAACUGACGCUCAUGCACGAAAGCGUGGGUAUCGAACAGGAUUAGAUACCCGGGUAGUC